CCUACGGGAGGCAGCAGUGAGGAAUAUUGGUCAAUGGGCGCGAGCCUGAACCAGCCAAGUCGCGUGAGGGAUGACGGUCCUACGGAUUGUAAACCUCUUUUGCCGGGGAGCAAGCGUGCGUUCGUGAACGCGCGUCGAGAUUACCCGUAGAAAAAGCAUCGGCAAACUCCUGGCCAGCAGCCGCGGUAAUACGGAGGAUGCGAGGGUUAUCCGGAUUUAUUGGUUUUAAGGGGUGCGUGGGCGGGAUGCCAAGUCAGCGGUAAAAAUGCGGUGCUCAACGCCGACGAGCAGUUGAAACUGGCGUUCUUGAGUGGACGAGAGGUAUGCGGAAUGCGUGGUGUAGCGGUGAAAUGCAUAGAUAUCACGAAGAACCCCGAUUGCGAAGGCAGCAUACCGGCGCCCUACUGACGCUGAGGCACGAAAGCGUGGGUAUCGAACAGGAUUAGAUACCCGGGUAGUC
rnacentral:rRNA from 1 species